rnacentral:lncRNA from 1 species
AUAUACUCAUGGCUUCCAUGGUAGGGAAUAGAGACAGGGGUAGAAAGAGAAGCAGCAAUACUUUAAACUUGAUUUGUAACUUUUGCAUAUUUAAAUAUUUGGCACAUAGACCUCUGUAUUAGCCAGCUUUCCCAUCACUGGGACAAAAUACCUGACACUCCCAACUUAAAGAAGGGAAGGUUUAUUUUGGCUUUUGGUUCCAGAGGAUUCAGUCCAUGAUUAGCUCGCUCCAUGGCAUAAACAUCAGUGCAUAAUGGAUAACAGCAGCUCAACUCAUUGUAUCCAGGAAGCAGAGAGCAGGGGAAGAGUGACAGGGAGGAAGGGCUAGAGACUAGAUGUACUCCCAAAGAUCAUGGCCCCAUGACCCACUUCCUCCAACUACAUCCUACCUCCAAAUAGCCCAUUCAACUAUAAACUCACCCAUGGUUUACCUCAUUGAUGAGGCUAGUGACUUCACAAUCCAGUCAUCUCUCCAAUACUGUCUAAAUCCACUCAAGUUGACAAUCAAGAUUAACCAGCACAGCCUCCCUUUGAACUCUUGCCUUGGGCCCUGCAAUGUGAGGAAUGGGUUGUCUCCUGGAGAAUGGGAUGCCUGGAAGAUGGAGGCAGGACUCUUGCUGCCUGGAUGCCUAGCUGUGAGCUACAGAAGACCAGAGGCUCACCCAGUGUCAUGGGAGAGCUUUGCACAUAUCCCUGGAAGUUGGGGACCCAUUUCCGUAACCACAGAAUCACAGUCUGGAGACACAAGUGGGCACCCUGUGACUGAAUCAGUAGAUGGGCCAUCUCAGAGCCCACCCCUUCCUUCACCCUCUCCUUGUGGUAUGUUUUCCUCCUGUUUUAAUCAUCUUUCUCCCCACUGGUGACAGAGGGAUUCCUGCUAACGGCUGUGGGGAGGGCUGAACACAUGACACCCGACCAGUGAGCUUGACGUCAGUUUAUUUGUGGUACCUGCUCCCAGCCCAAGGGAGAAGGGCACCCUAGCCACGUAGGACCACAUGGGUGCUGUACUUGGGAACAGAGCAGAACAACAGAGGGAGGCAGGAGAAGGCAAGCUCUUGUGUCAAGAGAGUGGGCUGCCUCCUGCUUCCUGAGGAGGACCGGAUUGGUUUGUGAGUAAUUGCA